rnacentral:lncRNA from 1 species
UCCCUGUCGCGACAUGCGCUGCCACACGGCGCUGCCCGCCUCACGCGGGGAGCCGCCCGGUCUUUUUAGGAUUUCCAGGAAGAGCUUUGGCAUCUGACCUUCAAGUGUUAUUAAAAGAAAUCAAAGGUUGUGUAACAGCCUGUGAGAGCCCUGCAUUUCUUAGCGGGGUUGUGUUUCAUCAAAUGCCUCCGCAUUUCUGAGCUUCACAGGUUCUUUAUGCCUUUACUUGUUUAUCCUCUGGAAAAGAUUUACAAAAGCAGCAGCAACAGAAAGCUGAAGAGCGCCAUAUAUUCCCUGUGUGAGGCUACAGAAUAGAGCAACAUCAAUCUCAUUUAAAAAAGUUGAUGCCGUCUCUCUGUUAGAACUUAGCAUUCUGCUUCCACCUCAGCCUUAAGAGAAGGCCCAUAAAUUAUUAAUACUAACAUCAGCGUGAGACAACAGAUGGUAAAGAUUACUUGGAAAAAGUCUUCACACCAAAGUAUUACAGCCCCGGUUUCACAGCCUGCUGGGGUUGUUUCCUGCUUCUGCCAACUUCCCUGGCCCUGGGAGAAACCUCUCGUCCUGUACAGGGGAAGGAACCCUUGGGCAGCCCAAGGGUGCUGUCUAGGUUCAGCUUCAACAGGCAUCUGUACCUCCUUGUUGUCUUGUACCUCCUGGUUGUCCUGACACCUGGUGCCUCUAGAGCAUUCGCCUGUCUCUACUCCACAGACCCAGCGAGCAGCCAACCACUGUGCUAAGGCUCCCUGGGUGCUCUCUGAAACCUGCCACAAGGAAUAGUCUGCAUCUGCAGCUUGUGAUGGCCUCAGGCGACUCCAGGUGCUUCUGGGUUUAGGAAGCUUGGGGAUGUUUACUGGGGCCUCUGGGUCCUGCAUUAGGCAGUAGCUAAUCCAUGGCAAAGUUGCCAUUAGUUCAGACUUAUGCAGCUGUGCCUACGUGACAGACCUGAACAGGCCUGUCUUGCUCAGGGCUGUAGGAAUUAGUGUUUGACUGGCAGACACCUUGCAUAGAUGCAGCUGAAGCUUCUUACUGGAGCAGUUUGUUGGUAAAAGCUCACUGGCAGUGGCAACUGAGAGGGAGGAGGUCAUGAUGGAAAGGCUUGCUUCUGUCAUGCUGCUCCAUCAGGUGAAAACUGCUGCUGUGGUGGAGCAGUACUCCUGUAUCAGCAAGGGGCUAUUUUGGUGUUAUUUUAGACUGCGUAGGCUGUCUGAAGAGCAGAUGUGCUAACUGGGACAACUGGAGCUGUCCUGAUGAAUGCCCUGUGCAACAAAUAACUGUGUCUAGGGGCUGGUUAUCUUCACUACCCCACCUCUGGUCACCUGCAGAGCCAGUGCAGGAAAGCACCAAACCAUUGGUGGGUUUGGAGCUUUAAUCAUCAUCAGCUAACUCUGCAGGAUGAGGCACCUAGAAACUUCUCAUCUGAUGGGUUUUGUUUAUUACUAGAGCUUGAGUGAUGGAGAUGAGUAACACAUGAAGCUUCCUGAAUCAUCUCCUGGAAUAUCUUUCUCACUAGACCUAAGCCUUGCAAAUGUUUUCCAUUGCAUUCCUGUCUUCUGUUCAGCCCUGUGAGAGCUUCAUCCUUCAGCCAGUUAAACCCAUUUCCUGGCCCCAUGUGUGCUUAACCUCAAACAUGUCAUAGCCUAGUACAGGCUAUAUGCGUAUCAUAUGUGCAUAUGUGCGUAUCAGCUUACAGCUGUAUGUGUACCUUUCCCUUUGGAUGUGCCUAGGCAGCUAGGGAAAGUUCUCAAAAAUGGAGAUCUGCAUGAGAGAAAAAAAAUAGAAAACAACAGAAAACUUUAGUGAGGAGGAUAGCUAACUGUCCUAGUUAAUGACCUCUCUGAGAAGCUUAUCAAGCAAAUACUGAAUAGUCUUUGAACUUGCCCUUAACACAGGAAUUGAUAUUGGGCUCAUCAGUGCUGCAGAAUUACAGUAUACUUCAGGGAAUUGUUUAUCGCUGUGAUCCUCAAAAAUAGGAUGACUGGAUGGUUAGAGGCAAAUACCAGCCAUUUUGUCCUGGCAUGGGCUGGGUUUUCAAACAGUUUGAGAAGAUGAAAGCUAUAUUCUGUUUUGCUUAUGGUUGUUAUCCUGCCUGCUAUUAUCUCUAAGCAUCUAUGAGAUAAUGUUUCAUUUAGAUAGACUAACUCAGAUUUUUAUAAAAAGCAUUUUCUGUAUUUUUUUCUCUCUCUCUCUUUUCUUUUUUUUUUUUUGAUGAGGUAUAUCCAAACUGAUGUACCUCAUGGCCUGGUUUCUAAUGUAUCUACCACCUUGAGGCCUCUUUAGCUCUAGGCUUUUGUGUGUGCUUUACUGAAGUGGUAACUUAAUAGACUAAGCACUUAACUUUGGUCUUGGAUUUUUUAGAAACUGACCUCAACUUUAUAUUCUGCCUGUAACUAAACAGUAGUAAAAAAGCAUAUUUCACUCUUACAACUUGACUUUGCUUUCAAAGAAUCUCAGAAGUUAAUUCACUGAUCGCUGAAUCCUUCUGCAUCUGGAGUGAUACUACUGUUAAACGAUUUGUGAAGGCGAAAUACUGCUAUGCCUAUAGUUCACACUUACAUGUGUGAGACACAUCUCACUUUACACAUCAUGGCUAGACCAUUCCAGCAUAAAAUUAGAAGGGAAAGGAGAAACUAAUUGUAAGAGGCGGCAUCAGGAGAAGUACCGUCCUCCCCUCUGAAAAUGGAGGAUUUAAGUUCUACUUCCUUCUAUGUGAUUAGUUAUUUGGAGAACAGCUGUUUGCCAUGGACUAGGCAGCAUUCCAGCUGUGUGACAUUAUUGACAUACCCUAGUCAUCACCCAACUCUGCCUACACAUUCUGCCUACAUGCUUGAAAUGCUCGUUCCAUCAUCUUUUGGGUCAACAGGAGACGGGAGUCUGUGUGAAGGUUGAGAUCAGUGCACUGCUUUAAUAAACAAGACUUCUAAUUCCA